rnacentral:rRNA from 1 species
AGUAGCGAAAGAUAGGUGAGAAUCCUAUCCAUCGAAAGCCUAAGGUUUCCAGGGGAAGGCUCGUCCGCCCUGGGUAAGUCGGGACCUAAGGUGAGGCCGAAAGGCGUAGCCGAUGGACAACAGGUUGAUAUUCCUGUACCACUUAUUAAUCUGAUGGAGUGACGGAGAAGGCUAAGUUGAGCGUGUGAUUGGAUUCACGUGUAAGCAGUGAGGUGGUCAUGUAGGCAAAUCCGCAUGGCAUAACAUUGAGCUGUGAUGCCGAAGCCGAAUGGCGAAGUCAACUGACGUCACGCUCCCAAGAAAAGCUUCUAGGGUUAAUUUAAUAAGUGCCCGUACCGAUAACCACACAGGUAGGCGAGGAGAGAAUCCUAAGAUGAGCGAGAGAACUCUUGUUAAGGAACUCGGCAAAAUGACCCCGUAACUUCGGGAGAAGGGGUGCUUGUGAAAGCAAGCCGCAGUGAAUAGGCCCAGGCGACUGUUUAUCAAAAACACAGGUCUCUGCUAAACCGCAAGGUGAUGUAUAGGGGCUGACGCCUGCCCGGUGCUGGAAGGUUAAGAGGAGAGGUUAGCGCAAGCGAAGCUUUGAAUUGAAGCCCCAGUAAACGGCGGCCGUAACUAUAACGGUCCUAAGGUAGCGAAAUUCCUUGUCGGGUAAGUUCCGACCCGCACGAAAGGCGUAACGAUCUGGGCGCUGUCUCAACAAGAGACUCGGUGAUAUCAUAGUACCUGUGAAGAUGCAGGUUACCCGCGACAGGACGGAAAGACCCCGUGGAGCUUUACUGUAGCUUGAUAUUGAGCACUGGUGGCACAUGUACAGGAUAGGUAGGAGACGAAGAAACCAGGACGCCAGUCUUGGUGGAGUCGCUGUUGGGAUACCACCCUUGUGUCACUGGGGUUCUAACCCGUGGCCCUUAUCGGGUCAGGGAACAGUGUCAGGUGGGCAGUUUGACUGGGGCGGUCGCCUCCCAAAGAGUAACGGAGGCGCCCAAAGGUUCCCUCAGAAUGGUUGGAAAUCAUUCGAAGAGUGUAAAGGCAGAAGGGAGCUUGACUGCGAGACCUACAAGUCGAGCAGGGACGAAAGUCGGGCUUAGUGAUCCGGCGGUACCGAAUGGAAGGGCCGUCGCUCAACGGAUAAAAGCUACCCCGGGGAUAACAGGCUGAUCUCCCCCAAGAGUUCACAUCGACGGGGAGGUUUGGCACCUCGAUGUCGGCUCAUCGCAUCCUGGGGCUGUAGUCGGUCCCAAGGGUUGGGCUGUUCGCCCAUUAAAGCGGUACGCGAGCUGGGUUCAGAACGUCGUGAGACAGUUCGGUCCCUAUCCGUCGUGGGCGUAGGAAAUUUGAGAGGAGCUGUCCUUAGUACGAGAGGACCGGGAUGGACACACCGCUGGUGUACCAGUUGUUCUGCCAGGAGCAUAGCUGGGUAGCUACGUGUGGACGGGAUAAACGCUGAAAGCAUCUAAGCGUGAAGCCCCCCUCAAGAUGAGAUUUCCCAUUCGAAAGAAGUAAGAUCCCUUGAAGACGACGAGGUUGAUAGGUCAGGAGUGGAAGUGUGGUGACACAUGGAGCGGACUGAUACUAAUCGAUCGAGGACUUAACC